UAUAAUCAUAUGGUAUUUUGUACCGAUUACCACGACUAAUUUAAAUUCGUGUGGCAUGAAACUCAUUGGAAAAGUAUUUACUCAGUGGCAACUUGGUAGUUGUAUACCGUCGAAAUAGAGCAUGACAGAAUAGGAUUGAAAUGUGAUGGAUUGAACUAGGAUACAUGAUUUAAAUGCCUGACCGUGAGAACAUAGUGUCCAUGACCCCAAAAUUAACCUUGACCCCGAAUGAGCUCGAGGAUACAUUGUCAGAUCAAAUAACGGAAGGCCGAAAUAUCCGUAACCGGUAAGGUAUCAUGGGGGGAAUCUCGGCAUGU
rnacentral:lncRNA from 1 species